rnacentral:lncRNA from 1 species
GCUGAUGGAAAAGCAGAGCACGAGGAGUGACCUGACUCUGCUUCUCACCGGCCUGAGACCCCCGAGAGCUCAUGGUUUUUGAGGCACUGUCUCAGAGGCCUGAGAAGAUGCUCCGCCACUACCAAGACAGGGGGCAGGCUUUCUCUGUGUGGCCCUGGCUAUCCCGGAACUUGCUCUGUAGACCAGGCUGGCUUCAAGCUCAGAGACCCAUCUGCCUCUGCCUUCCCAAGUGCUGGGAUCAAAGACGGGCACCCCCACAUCUGGCUUAGUUAUAUUAGGCUUACUUCCUACUCAAUUCAGGGGUUUCUGUUGAUGAUGAUGUUGUUUUCUGAGAGAGGGUUUCUUUGUGUAGUCCUUGUCCUGAACUUCCUAUGUAGACCAGACAGGCCUCUAACUCACAGAGAUUCCCUUCCCCCCAUCUCUGCCUUCCAGUGUUGGGAUUAAAGCUGUGUGCUACCACGUCUGGUGAGAGGACAUUUUUUGUUGUUGUUGUUGUUGUUGUUGUUGUUGUUUUGGGUUUUUUUUUCCCCGGAGCUGGGGACCGAACCCAGGGCCUUGCGCUUGCUAGGCAAGCGCUCUACCACUGAGCUAAAUCCCCAACCCCAAGAGGAUGCUUUUUAAGGUUGUCUACUUUUCUGCAUUUCCACAGUGAACAGAGGUGACACAACUGUACAUCCCCAAGGACUGGUCUACAUCCCCGCUGAGCUGAAUUCCAUGUUUAAGAUCAAAUGUUCAGGGACUAGCAAGUUGGUUCAUCAGGUAAAAGUGGUGGCCUUUAAACCUGGCCACCUGAGUUCCAACCCCAGUACCCCACUGGUUGAAGGAACUGGCUCCCACAGAUUGUCCUGUGAGCUCCACACAGGCAGUGCAGCACGAUGCACCCACACGUAUAAUCUCUCAUAGGCACACAAUAAAUCCAUAAAGAAUGUAAUAAGAGAGCAACUAAAGGGGACUCACGACACCUACCUCUAC